rnacentral:rRNA from 1 species
UACGAAGGGGGCUAGCGUUGCUCGGAAUUACUGGGCGUAAAGCGCACGUAGGCGGUCUUUAAGUCGGGGGUGAAAUCCUGGAGCUCAACUCCAGAACUGCCUUCGAUACUGGAAGACUCGAGUCCGGGAGAGGUGAGUGGAACUGCGAGUGUAGAGGUGAAAUUCGUAGAUAUUCGCAAGAACACCAGUGGCGAAGGCGGCUCACUGGCCCGAUACUGACGCUGAGGCACGAAAGCGUGGGGAGCAAACAGG